AGCCCACGUGUGCGAUUCCACUCCACAUGGCUGUGCUCCUGAAGAGGUUGUUGCAUCCCCGGAGGCCCCCGGCGGCCUUGGGCCGCCCCCUGGGACGGCGCGAGGCCAGCCUGGACACUCAUGCCGGGGCUGCGGUGCGAGUGCGGUUCGCCCCCAGCCCCACAGGCUUCUUGCACCUGGGCGGCCUCCGCACUGCCUUGUACAACUACAUCUUUGCCAAGAAGCACCGAGGGAGCUUCAUCCUGAGGCUAGAGGACACGGAUCAGACCCGCCUUGUGCCUGGGGCAGCGGAGAAUAUAGAGGACAUGCUGGAGUGGGCAGAAUCUCACUUCCUACUGGGAGCGGGCAGGAAACACAGGCCAAGUGGAAGAUGGACCGGGAGUCUCCAGGGGUGUGGCAUCCCCCCUGACGAGAGCCCCCGCCGGGGAGGUCCUGCGGGGCCCUACCUGCAGUCUCAGCGACUUGCGCUCUACGCCCAGGCCACCGAAGCUCUGCUGAAGAGCGGCGCUGCGUACCCGUGUUUCUGCUCACCCCAGCGGCUGGAGCUCCUGAAGAGGGAGGCCCUAAGGAACCGCCAGACACCCCGGUAUGACAAUCGGUGCCGGAGCCUGAGCGAGGCGCAGGUGGCCCAGAAGCUGGCCAAGGACCCCAAGCCUGCCAUCCGCUUCCACCUGGAGGGGGAGGCGCCAGCCUUCCAGGACUUGGUGUACGGCUGGAAUCGUCAUGAGGUGGCCAGUGUGGAGGGGGACCCAGUCAUCCUGAAGAGCGAUGGCUUCCCCACCUACCACCUGGCCUGCGUGGUGGACGACCACCACAUGGGCAUCAGCCACGUGCUGCGGGGCUCCGAGUGGCUGGUCUCCACCUCCAAGCAUCUGCUCCUCUACCAGGCCCUGGGCUGGCAGCCCCCGCUCUUUGCCCACCUGCCCCUGCUCCUCAACAGGGAUGGCAGCAAGCUGUCCAAGAGGCAAGGGGACAUCUUCCUGGAGCAUUUUGCUGCCGCCGGCUUCCUGCCGGAUGCCUUGCUCGAUAUCAUCACCAGCUGCGGCUCAGGGUUUGCAGAGAACCAGAUGGGCAGGACCUUGCCAGAGCUGAUCACACAGUUUGACCUGACCCGGGUCACCUGCCACUCGGCUCUGCUGGACCUGGAGAAGCUCCCAGAAUUCAACAGGCUGCACCUCCGCCGGCUGGUGAGCGAUGAGACCCAGAGACGCCAGCUGGUGGGGAAGCUACAGGCUCUCGUGGAGGAGGCUUUCGGGAGCCAGCUGCAAGACAGGCAUGUGCUGGACGCGGCCUACGUGGAGAGGAUCAUCCUGCUGAGACAGGGUCACAUCUGCCGCCUGCAGGAUUUGGUCUCCCCAGCGCACUCCUACCUGUGGACUCGCCCUGCUGUGGGUCGAGCGCAGCUGGGCGCCGUCUCGGAGAAGGUGGACAUCAUUGCCAAGCGUGUGCUGGGGUGAGGAAAUCAAGGCACAAAGAGGUUAAGUAACUUGUCUAAAAUAAUACAGCUAGUAAAUCGAAGGAGCAGAGAUUGAGACUCAAGCUGGCUGGAGUGAGAGACCCUACAGCUAUUCCCUUCUUAUACCACUUUACCAUGAUUUAUAUAAUUCAUCUCCUAUUGAUGGACAUUUGGAUUGCUUCCAAAUUUUGCGGUUACAAACAGUGCCACAGUGAGUAACCUUGAAUAGACAUCAUUAAGCACCUUUACAAGUAAAUCUCCAGGAUAAAUUCCCAAGAGGUAUUAUUAAUAAUACUCCCUUAAGUUAGGACAUUCCACAUGAGGCUGUCAGUUCUAGUUUACCGGGCUAAUGUCUUACCUCCCCACCCCUGCCAUAGGAUUAGAUUUUAGAGACCCUCUGGGGCUCCCACUGAAGGCAGGAAAGCUGACGCCCAAAUAUUUAGAAGCUGCUGGAUCUCUGUAAGUCCCUCUGUGCCCACGCCAAGGCCUGGAGCAGCUCUAACGUGUCCUGGCUGCCAGUGUUUGCUGCCUGGGGCCUGUCACUCUUUCACCAGCUCCUUGGCAGCCUGCUUCCCCACAGUGACAUUGAGGAGUGUGUCUGGUUUUUCCCACAUUACAUUUAUUUUUUUUUGAAGUAUAGUUGAUUUACAAUGUUGUGUUAAUUUCUGCUAUAUAGCAAAGUGAUUCAGUUAUACAUACUCUUUUUCAUAGUCUUUUCCAUUAUGGUUUAUCACAGGAUAUUGACUAUAGUUUCCUGUGCUCUCUGGUAGGACCUUGUUGUUUAUCCAUUUUAUAUAUAAUGGUUUGCAUCUGCUAGUCCUAAACUCCCAGUCCUUCCCUCCCCCCACCCCGCCAACCCUUGGUCUGUUCUCUAUGUCUGUGAGUCUGUUUCUGGUUCGUAGAUAUGUUCAUUUGUGUCAUAUUUUAGAUUCCACAUAUAAGUGAUAUCAAAUGGUAUUUGUCUCUUUCUGACUUACUUCACUUCGUAUGAUAAUCUCUAGGUCCAUCCAUGUUGCUGCAAACCACAUUACAUUUUAUAUUUUCAAUAUUUCCUCUUCUCCAUUUCAUAAAUAGCAGCAAUCAUGUGGUCCAGUUUUAAGAUGCAAUAAGAAUGAUUGUGUUUCUCAGAUUGAAACUGAAUUGCUCAAGUACUGGAGUGAGUAAGGAAAUCUGCACUAAAAGGCUCUUUGUUCCAAUUCCUCUUGAACCCAGUCCCUGAGCCGGUAGCCCUCCACACUGAGCCGAUGUGGGGAAUGGAGUGUCUGGGCCCUUUCGGGAGCAGGCGGUGUCAGAGGUGGCGUCGAGGAUCAUCUGCACUGGUGAAGAUCUCCAGCCUCGGUCCCUCCUCCGUGUGGAAUGACUCCCCCUGCCCUGCUCCCGGCUCUUGCUCUAACUCAGAAUCAGGGCUGGGACGAAGUUUUUGCAGGUCCCGCUCUGACUAAUUGGGGACUUUCUCUUGAGCUCAAACAUGCUUUGUGGAGAGGGUCUCAGCUGGACUGCCAGGAAAGUGGGGAAUGGUUGCUGGCCUGUUGUAGUUCCUUAAGUGUUUCAUUUGUGGGCAAAGAAUGGUUGUGGCAAGUUGGGACAUUACUGGAGCUGGGGUCUCCUGAUUUCCUUCUUUCUGCUCUUCUCUGCUACAUCCCCCGGAAGUCUUGAAGCUGUGUUUCAGAUCAUUUCCCAGAGGGCUUCAUUCUUCCAUCCUAUGUGUAACCCAAUCCUAAGUUUCUUUUCAGAUCCUCUUGCAAUGUCUCUGAGCUCUUGGAUGUAAUAAAUAUUAGCUAAUAUUUAACUUUUUAUUGAAAUAUAAGAGCUCAUACUUUCAAGUACUUACCAUCUGUUCAGGCAAUGUACUUAGUGCUUUACAAGUUUUAACUUAGCCCCACCAUAGCCCUGUGAGGUGCAGACACUAUUAUUAUUCCCACUUUACAGGUGAGAAAACUGAGGCAUGAAGAUUACAUGACACAGGUAGUAAUCAGUAAAUCCUCUUAGUUUCCCUAUUUUAUGCCCACUUGCUUGGAUUCUCUGUGUUUGUAGUCUCUUCUUGGUGGUUGUUUCUUCCCCAGCUAGGAUGGGGAUGGGGGUAAUAGAUAUCCCCCCACCCCCAAGGCAGGCUUGAACAUUGGUUGUGCUGUUAAUGUAUAUUGUAGCUGAUGGAUGAUCUUCUGAAGUCCCCCCUUCCACCCACUUGCCAUUGGCCCAUGCUGGCCCCUUAUAGAC